AUUGAACGCUGGCGGCAGGCCUAACACAUGCAAGUCGAACGAGUGGCGGACGGGUGAGUAACGUCUGGGAAACUGCCUGGUGGAGGGGGAUAACUUCUGGAAACGGUAGCUAAUCCCGCAUACCAUCAGAUGUGCCCAGAUGGGAUUAGCUUGUUGGUGGGGUAACGGCUCACCAAGGCGACGAUCCCUAGCUGGUCUGAGAGGAUGACCAGCCACACUGGAACUGAGACACGGUCCAGACUCCUACGGGAGGCAGCAGUGGGGAAUUUUGGACAAUGGGCGCAAGCCUGAUGCAGCCAUGCCGCGUGUAUGAAGAAGGCCUUCGGGUUGUAAAGUACUUUCAGCAGGGAGGCGUUACCCGCAGAAGAAGCACCGGCUAACUCCGUGCCAGCCGCCGCGGUAAUAC
rnacentral:rRNA from 1 species